rnacentral:rRNA from 1 species
AGUGAACGCUGGCGGUAGGCCUAACACAUGCAGGUCGAACGGCAGCACAGUAAGAGCUUGCUCUUACGGGUGGCGAGUGGCGGACGGGUGAUGAAUACAUCGGAAUCUACUUUUUCGUGGGGGAUAACGUAGGGAAACUUACGCUAAUACCGCAUACGACCUACGGGUGAAAGCAUGGGAUCUUCGGAUCUUGCGCGAUUGAAUGAGCCGAUGUCGGAUUAGCUAGUUGGCGGGGUAAAGGCCCACCAAGGCGACGAUCCGUAGCUGGUUUGAGAGGAUGAUCAGACACACUGGAACUGAGACACGGUCCAGACUCCUACGGGAGGCAGCAGUGGGGAAUAUUGGACAAUGGGCGCAAGCCUGAUCCAGCCAUACCGCGUGGGUGAAGAAGGCCUUCGGGUUGUAAAGCACUUUUGUUGGGAAAGAAAAGCAGCAGGUUAAUACCCCGCUGUUCUGACGGUACCAAAAGAAUAAGCACCGGCUAACUUCGUG